GAUAAGAUGAGGAUAUUCUCGCUUAUACGUUGCACAAUUAUGAUGUCGAUUAAUGCAUCAUAACAGUACUAUAAAUCAAUUGUACAAAAAUCGUGAGGAUAAAAAAUGUAAUGUAAUCUUGUUUUUACUAAUUAAAUUGUCGAUUGCGAGAGUUUUCGAAGAUAUACAGGGUAUUUUUAAAACUGCGUCAUAGGUUUUGAGGACGUAUUUUAGAGGUGAAAAUAAGAAAAAAAGUUCCUAUAAACAUUCAAAAAUGAAAAUUGUCAAAAUGCCAUAAAACUGAAGUAUUUAUUACUAAUUAUUACGCUGUGCAAAAUAUAUCAAAUUUUUCUGUGAAAAAGUCCGAAUAGCUGUAAUACAUUUUUUAAUUUUUUUUCCUAACUGUAGGAGAGAAAAGUAUCUCGGAGGAAAAGCAUUUUUGGACCCCUGUUUAUAUAGAAACAUUUUUUUUACACUGACCUCUAAUGAAUACACCCUUAAUCUCUAAUAUAGUUUUAAAAACACCCUGCGUAUAGAGACGAAGUUUCGUCAUUAUGACGUUUCAUCUUCCAUGCUGACACGGUGAUCGCUAAUUGCGUCCGUAAUAAUCCGCAAGAGCUCCGAAUCUUUCGGACCGGCAAUGUUUUGCACUUCGAUCGACGCGGAAUGCAAACGGACCUCGGGUACACGGACCUUGGUGCAUAUUUUUAGUGGCCGCCGUGAUGGAAAGAGAAAGAGAGACUCGAGAGGAACGAGAAGAUCUCGGUAUCGUGGUCGGUGCGAUUCAGUGAGCGGGGAUCCAAGGUAAGGGCACGACGUCGCGAUGACGUCAUCGGCCGUCGCGACGACGUCGUCGCCGCAGCUGCGGCCACUCGCGCGUAGGCAUCAGCGCGACGUUCUCUCUGUCGUCGUUCUCUCUCUUUCUCUCUCUUUCAUAUACAUUAUUCGCUUCCGUGUGUAAACGAUAUUGUCACUUCGAGAGAAUCAGUCACGCUUGCCGAUAAUCGUCAGUGAUUGCCCUGCUGCAGCUUUGUCACGUACGUCCGGUACCGGCUAUCUGGGAGGUAAGCAAGACUUCUAAGGAGGAGACCGACGCGAUGAAGGCCAACACGGCAGCGACGAAGAUCCAGGCCAACUUUCGCGGAUAUCGCGUGCGCAAACAGAUGAAGGAGACCACGCAACGUCGUCGUCAGUCGCAGCAGCAGCAUCCGGAUCAGCGGAACCAGCAGCAGAACCAACAGCAGCAGCAGCAGGAGCAUCUGCCGAAGUCGAAGGAUCCUUUCAAGAGACAGAACACCCGGGAGGCACUCGAAGAGAAGUCGGCGACGAAGAUCCAGGCGGGUAUUCGCGGCUACCUGGUGCGGAAGAGGCAACAGGCGGUUCAAGCCGCGGCGACGAGGAUCCAGGCCGGUUUCCGCGGCUUCAGGACGCGGAAGUUGCUGAAGCAGAACGGCCAGUAAGGCUGAUCUCUUCCGGUCGGACGAGAGAUCACAUGUAGCGUCGAUGUAUGCAAGAGUAAUCUGUGGAUUCGUUCGUAUACUUCGGAAGAAAUCGCGGAAUUGGAUUGAAAGUGUCGAAGAAACAUCUUUUAAUUAGGCCAAUCACGGAUCUUCACGAUGCUUGACAUGUAUUUUUGGGACAUUGUAUACUUUUGGACUCAAACUUCGUGAAAUUUGUCGAAUACCAUCUCGAAAAUUAUUGAAUGAUAACUAAUGAUACAUUGUUUUGUAACAAUCUUUAUACUUAAUUUUUUCUACGACUUUCAUAUAAUGAUGGUGACGAAGACAGAAGCAAUAAGAAGACGUUGCUUUAAGAAAGCAAUUAAUAGGCAUAUGUAUGCGAUAGAAGUUAUAGUUAAAUGAUUAUGUGGAUCUAUUGAAAUAUGUUCUUGUUAUUUUUAUUGCGAUGUAAUUAAAGUAUUAAUUACGAUAAUUUGAGUAAUGCAAGUUGAAGAUAUUCUGUAUAAUAUUUCUGUACCGUAAUUUUUCGUAUCUACGUAAAUCUUGUCGAUAAAUAAUAUCUGCUAUUUGUAUGAGUAGUGUAUAGAUGUACAUAUACUAUUUGUCACUAUAUACUUGCAUUAUAUUUCACAA